rnacentral:misc_RNA from 1 species
UUUCCGUAGGUGAACCUGCGGAAGGAUCAUUAAAGAAAGAAAAGGAAGCGCUCUUUUUAGAGGCUCCCGACCUCUUCUCUUUCCACACACCCGUGCACUCGGGGGCGUCGGAGCCGGCUGACAAAGCCGCGCCGAGGCGCUUUCCCGCCCCUUCAAAACUCCGAAAGUCGUCGAGGAUGUUGUAUAACAAAAAGAGAAAACUAAACAAAACUUUCAACAACGGAUCUCUUGGCUCUCGCAUCGAUGAAGAACGCAGC